AAAAAUUUAAUACAAAAAAAAUUUGAUUGGAAGCUUUAUUAUUUGUUUCACGGAGAAGCAAUCAAAGUUGAUCAAAUCGCAAACCCACGAGGACGAAAGAAAGCAUUCUCUUCUGAGUGCGAAGCGGGGCUUGAGAAUUCCACCUGGAAGGACCUAGCUCAUUGAUGACCAUUCCUCCAGAACUUCGGUUUUGGAAGGAGGGAGAGAAUGCAAUCUGAGUGGA
rnacentral:snoRNA from 1 species